CAGUAGCCGCGGGAAUACGUAGGGUGCAUGCGUUAAUCGGAAUUACUGGGCGUAAAGCGUGCGCAGGCGGUUCGCUAAGACAGAUGUGAAAUCCCCGGGCUUAACCUGGGAACUGCAUUUGUGACUGGCGGGCUAGAGUAUGGCAGAGGGGGGUAGAAUUCCACGUGUAGCAGUGAAAUGCGUAGAGAUGUGGUGGAAUACCGAUGGCGAAGGCAGCCCCCUGGGCCAAUACUGACGCUCAUGCACGAAAGCGUGGGGAGCAAACAGGAUUAGAUACCCCGGUAGUCCCUGUCUCUUAUAC
rnacentral:rRNA from 1 species